AAGUUCAAAUGAAGUCUGAAAACAAUUACAGAGUAUUAUCGAAAUAUCUUACGAAUAAUAAAAAGAACUUUUACACGUAUCAUCUUAAAAGCAGCAAGGGCUUGCAUGUCGUACUUAAAGGUAUAGAAUCUGAAGUGACGCCUGCAGAUAUAGCAAAGGCACUACAAGAGAAGGGAUUUAGCGCAAAGACAGUCUUCAAUAUCCUUAACAGGGAUAAAAAGCCGCAGCCACUCUUUAAGGUUGAGCUCGAGCCAGAAAAUAAGCCCCUGAAUAAAUACGAAGUGCAUCCUAUAUACAAUCUUCAGUUCCUGCUGCACCGCCGAAUUACAGUUGAGGAACCGCACAAACGCAAUGGUCCGGUACAAUGUGCGAACUGCCAAGAAUAUGGCCACACAAGGUCAUAAACUGCGUAAACUGCGCCCGGUGUGUGUAGGUUGUGGAGAGCUUCAUGACUCCGUACACUGCCCAGCGAGCAAAAAUGACUGCAACUCGAAAAAGUGCGGCAACUGCGGUGGCAAUCACACUGCUAACAAUAGAGGUUACCCAGUUUAUAAAGAUCUGAAAAGCCGCAUCCAUCAGAGAGGAAUUACUGCCCGCACCCAAAAUAAAACGUUGAAAGUCUCCAGAUCAAAUCCUGAAGUCUUCUUCUCGACUGCAGCCAGAUCCUCACUAGUACCCAUAAACUCUAACAAAAGUGUGACAUACGCAAGCGCUUUAAAAUCAGGACCGGCUAUCCCUGCCUCAAAAAGUUCAUUUCUGCAAUCAGCAUACAAAGAACCGAAUACUGCUCAGCAGCAUCAAUCGCCGGAGCAGCCAAAAAGCAACUUCGAAGCUAUGAUAUGCAGCCUACAACAAAGAUUACGGAAUUUAUGUCAUUUAUGCGCAUAACUAUGCAAGAUUAAAUGAGAAAUCAAGAUCUAUUGAUUCAAAUUCUGGUUUUACAACAAUCCAAAUAAUGACUCCCCACGGAUAUCUACGUGGAACGCUAACGGCGUUUCGCAGCAUAAACUUGAGUUAACUCAAUUCCUACUCGACAAUCAAAUCGUCGUAAUGCUGCUUUCAGAAACACACCUUACAAACAAAUAAAAUUUUCAACUACAAGGAUAUACUUUCUACGGAACAAAUCAUCCAGACGGUAAAGCACAUGGUGGGUGUGGAAUUCUAAUCAGAAGCCGUAUUAAGCACCACUAUCAUAACAAAUUUGCUAAAAACUACCUACAGGCCACAUCUAUAAAUAUACAAUUAAAUACUAGCAACCAACUUACACUCACUAGGAGACCACUUCAUAGCAGCAGGAGACUACAACGCCAAGCACACACAUUGGGGAUCUCGUCUCGUGACUCCAAAAGGAAAGCAGCUCUACAAUAUGAUUAUCAGCGCCAAGAACAAGCUCUCGACUAUGUUUCUUCUGGUACACCAACAUACUGACCGGCAGACCCAAAGAAACUGCCCGAUUGAACAGACUUUGCGAUUACCAAAAACUUUCCAAAAAUCUGAUAAGCGCCGAAUGCCUUUCGGAUCUUUCAUCUGAUCACUCACCUAUCCUGUUUAUUCUACUCCGACAUCCAGGAGCAUUGGAACAAUCAUUAAAAUUGACCUCACAGAAAACCAAUAGGUUUAAGUAUAGAAAAUAUAUUAGCUCACACAUUGAGCUAAGUCCUCAUCUCAACAAUGAAGCCGACGUAGACAGCUUUGUUAAUUCACUGGAGUCUGUACUUGUCUCUGCAGCCCGAGUUUCAACACCUCAAACUAUAAAUCGAAAGAAGACAAAUCUACAAAUCGAGAAGCUCGUCAUCGAAUAGCGACGCUUACGUCGUGAGUGACAAUUCCACAGAUCGCCAUCUGCUAAGCAAAGUUUAAGACAUGCCUCACGUGAACUUACUAAAGCUCUACAACAAGAAGAAGCAUAUGACCACCGCCACUACAUAGAGCAAUUGUGUACUUCUAGUACAAAAAUCUCACGCCUAUUAAAAAUCCCACAGGAGGCUGGCCGCGCAGCGAUGCAGGUAGCACGUUUGCCAACCACCUUAAAAAUGUAUUCCAACCAAAUCCUGCCACGAGUGCGUUUACUUUGCCGACUUUCCCAUAUGAGCCUCAGCUCAGCAUGAGCGAAUCGAAUUUCGCCCAAAUGAAAUCGUUAGCAUAAUCAAAAAUCAACUGAAUCCGAAAAAAUCCCCGGGCUGCGACCACAUAAUUCCCAAAAUGAUCAUCGAGCUCCCAUAUUGCGCCGUUUGCACUAUCACCCAGCUUUUCAAUGCCAUCGCAAAACUUGGUUACUAUCUAGUGAUAUGGAAAAAGUCAAUUAUAUUAAUGAUAGCAAAGCCGGGAAAAGACCACACAAUCCCCACUUCGUAUAGACUUAUAAGCCUACUUUCAUGCUUAUCUAAACUCUUUGAAGUAUGCGUUUUGACUCGGUUAAACACAUAACUAAGACUCCAGGAAGGAAUCCCGUCACAUCAAUUUGGGUUUCGUGAAAAGCACAGAACAAUUGAGCAGGUCAACCGGAUAACAUCAGAAAUUCGGAAAGCGUUCGAAAAACGAGAGUACUGUACUGCCAUAUUUUUAGAUGUCUCUCAAGCAUUUGAUAGAGUCUGGCUAGAAGGUCUAAUGUACAAGAUCACGACAAUGCUCCCCAACAACACCCACAAGCUUUUAGAGUCUUACCUUUACGACAGAAAAUUUGUUGUGAGAUGCAACACUGCUAUAUCUGAUGAUUUCACUGUUGGAGCUGGAGUUCCUCAAGGUAGUGUGCUGAGACCAACACUAUACGUCCUCUACACAGCAGACAUGCCGACAAGCACACGAGUAACAACAUCAACAGCUGAUGAUAGAGCUAUUCUUAGCCGCUCAAAAUGCCCGAGGCAAUCAACUGCUCAGCUAGCUUUUCAUAUGGUCGAUGUUGAAAAAUGGCUAUCAGAUUGGCGAAUUAGAGUGAACGAACAAAAAUUCAAGCACGUUACAUUCACCCUGAACAGGCAAAACUGCCGCCGCUUACGUUUAACAACAAUCUACUCCCGCAAGCAAACGAAGAGACAUAUCUAGGAGUACACCUCGACUCACAUGGCGCCGGCACAUUGAAGCCAAAAGAACACACCUAAAGCUAAAGGCCAGUAGCCCUCAUUGGCUUAUCAACGCUCGGUCUCCCCUUAGCCUUGAAUAUAAAGUCCUGCUGUAUAACUCAGUACUUAAACCUAUAUGGAUGUACGGCUCCCAGUUAUGGGGGAAUGUCAGCAAUAGUAAUAUUGACAUAGUCCAGCGAGCUCAGUCAAAGAUCUUGAGAAUCAUCACCGGGGCACUGUGGUAUGUUCGCAACGAAAACAUACAAUGCGACUUAAACAUCCUAUCUGUCAAAGAAGUGAUCACAGAACAGAAGGAAAAGUACUUUACCAAGCUACUGUUGCACCCCAACCACCUGGCGAGAAGUCUAACAAGGUUGAGCAACCAAUCACGACUUCGUCGCAAUGACUUACCUACCCAGCGACCGACUUGGGGGACGCGCAAGCAGAAUACAGUCUUAACACACUGUUAACUAAAUUUUAAUGUUAAGAUUCGUAAACUUAUUGUUAGUCUCAAAAUUAAGAAGAAAAUUCAAUAAAUAAAAGCAACGUCCUCAAAAAAAAAAAAAAUACCAUCACUCUCGUGAUGGAUGGCAUCCAAGAAGCGCUACCGGAAAUCUAUUUUAAUUCUGUCUCGCUUUUGAGUACUACUGCUGUGUGGCAGGUGCGGCGCAGAAUCGAUCCUGUAUCGAUCUGAGUCACCUGUCGCCUAUGGUAAUAACAAAGCAUCAGGCCAGCACACAUCCAGCGCCACUCAAAUGAAAACGGAACAAAUAGUUAACCUAAACAACAAAGAGAAACUACAUUGACAACAAUGCUAACCUAAUAUCACAGUUUUAUCACAGGAUUUGCUCGUUGUUGCCUCCAGGCUACGAUGGCACGUUGAGACUGACGUAAGACUGACACACGCCCAUCAACCACAACAUGAACAGAUUCUGUUACAAAGAAAUGACAAUAAGAUUUGGGUCCUGUCACCAAAUGGAAUCCUGAUCAGAGCUGCGCAUUUAUGGGUUCCUACCUCGGUCCACAUAAGCCAGCAGAUGAUCAAAAUUUUACUUGACAAAAGGACAUACGCCGUAUCUUUGGAAAUAUCUUUUUUUAAUUUUUUCUCGAAAUCAAAUUUAAAAGAUUUGGGGCCAUAUUGUUACGGACUGGUUGUCUUCCCUGGGACCGCGGCGGCUGGCUCAUCGGUACUCAGGGUGAGUUCCAUCUCUGGCCCGCAGUCCGCACAAUCCAUAACUCCAUCGAUACUAAACAGUUGCUUUAAAACGGAAAACUCAUUACUAACAAUACAAAGCAGCUGCCGCGCAAUUGAAAGUUGCGCUAAACAAAAGGAAAUAUAAAACAAACUAUUGACAACGGGCCACUUUUGGACCCCGGCGUACCCACCCUGCCUGAGAUGGCUACAUCGGCGUCAUUCCAAUUGCGUUGUCCACUACUUCAUUGGCUGCUCCAAUGUCCGGUGUAGUGCUGUGGAUUUCCCCUCCCCGCCAUGACGAGAAAACACAACCAUGUCGCUCAACGAUUCGAAACAAAAAGAAGAAACAAGGUGAAACAGCAAAGAAGCAACAACGGAGUAUGGGACAACUUAUAUAUAGUAUGUGACAGUAACGAAAACAAGGAUAUGUGUAUUUAUGUUUUUAAUGUAUACAAAUUAACAAAAAUUGAUUAGAUUUUUGUUUUUAAAAAAGCCAAGUGCUUUAUUCAGGAGUUGGAUUAGAACUAACUUAAGCAAUCUAAAUUAUUAAAAAUAAAGCUCUGCUG